GAUGAACGCUGGCGGCGUGCCUAAUACAUGCAAGUCGAGCGAACAGACGAGGAGCUUGCUCCUCUGACGUUAGCGGCGGACGGGUGAGUAACACGUGGAUAACCUACCUAUAAGACUGGGAUAACUUCGGGAAACCGGAGCUAAUACCGGAUAAUAUAUUGAACCGCAUGGUUCAAUAGUGAAAGACGGUUUUGCUGUCACUUAUAGAUGGAUCCGCGCCGCAUUAGCUAGUUGGUAAGGUAACGGCUUACCAAGGCAACGAUGCGUAGCCGACCUGAGAGGGUGAUGGGCCACACUGGAACUGAGACACGGUCCAGACUCCUACGGGAGGCAGCAGUAGGGAAUCUUCCGCAAUGGGCGAAAGCCUGACGGAGCAACGCCGGGUGAGUGAUGAAGGUCUUCGGAUCGUAAAACUUUGUUAUUAGGGAAGAACAAAUGUGUAAGUAACUAUGCACGUCUUGACGGUACCUAAUCAGAAAGCCACGGCUAACUACGUG
rnacentral:rRNA from 1 species